CCUACGGGUGGCAGCAGUGGGGAAUAUUGCACAAUGGGGGAAACUCUGAUGCAGCGACGCCGCGUGAGUGAAGAAGUAAUUCGUUAUGUAAAGCUCUAUCAGCAGGGAAGAAAAUGACGGUAACUGAGUAAGAAGCAUCGGCUAACUACGUGCCAGCAGCCGAGGUAAUACGUAGGGGGCAAGCGCUAUCCGGAUUUACUGGGUGUAAAGGGAGCGUAGACGGCAGUGCAAGUCUGGAGUGAAAGGCGGAGGCUCAACCCGCGGACUGCACCGGAAACUGUACGGCUGGAGUGCAGGAGAGGAAAGUGGAAUUCCAAGUGUAGCGGUGAAAUGCGUAGAUAUUAGGAGGAACACCAGUGGCGAAGGCGGCUUACUGGACUGUAACUGACGUUGAGGCUCGAAAGCGUGGGGAGCAAACAGGAUUAGAUACCCGGGUAGUC
rnacentral:rRNA from 1 species